rnacentral:tRNA from 1 species
GUCUUCGUGGUGUAGUGGUCAGCACGCUCGGCCCGUAUUUGAGCGGUCCGUGGUUCGAGUCCCGGCGAGAGCA